CCCAAAGUGGGACAGUUGGUCAGCCUCCCUGGGCAGAAGGAGAUGGGCAUGGAGGGCCUUUGGUCCGCCUCUCAGCCCAGAGUCCCUGUUCAGGGAAUGGCAGCUGCUGUUCCUUACAAUGCUAGAAAGUUUGCGCUCAUGGUGGUGGGAUCUGAAUGUGAAAAUCCGAAGGCGGAAAUAAGUCACCAGCAGCCUACAAUGUAACAGAUUUUCUAGGAUUUUUCAACUCUAUUUAGGUGCUAGAACCUCGAGCAUGGUCAUAUGUGCAGGAGAAGGGGGAAGUAACAAUCACUAUUUCAUUACGAAUGUUUACUGAGUGCUUAUUACACAGGGGCUGCAGAAGGAGAAGCAGCGGGCACAGGAAGCAGGAGACAGCUGGUGGCAGAGGGUUUCUCAGAGGCAGGAGAACAGGACAGAAGGCAUCUGGGCUGAUGGGGAGGUUUCCAGGAAUGAAUCCUGGCUUGCGGGACCUGUCUCUCCUCCGGGUGGAGGGAUUUCACAGCCGCAGUUCCAGACUGGGAGUGGCUGGCCCCAGAGCCUCCUGAAGCCCCAAGACUUUCCACCUCCUCUCCCCAGCUUCCUGCGGGCUCCUCCUCAGUCUGAGCCAAGCUCCUAAACCCUUAUACUCAAUCGCCCAUUCAACCUUGUGCUGAGUGUCCCUGGGUCAGGCCUCGGCGGUCACUGUGCAUCCUCCCACCAAAGUAUCUGAGACUCCCUGAGAAGAUCUGGAGUAGAUGAACUUGACCACCAGGAACCUGGCAGGGUGAGGGCCCUGAUGUCCAAGGAAGCACCCAGAGUGGGGUCGUUCCUGCUGGGAGGCACGGCAUCCUGGAACCCAGGUCAGGACCAAAGCAGUGAAGCCUACAGAUGCCCAGUGCAGCCCGUGGAAGCCCUUGCACCUCUCUUUCUGUCAUGAGGACAAUGCGUCUGAGCUGCCUGGUGGGGGAUCCAGGCAGUUUGUUCAGGGAAAGUGGAGAAAUAGCCUUGGGUCUCAAACUCCCAGGAUGCAGGGUCCAGGCCCACCUGGUGUCCUUGGCUCAAGCUCAAGCACACACACAGAUAGAGGCAGAGAGAUACCAGGAGUCAGCUACCUUGUCUCCUGACACCCUUGCUGCCACUUAGCACCCUGGGGAUCCUGAGCAAACCAUGUUUUUCCUAAGGUUGGGCCAGAGCCUCUCAAAGUGCCAAAUCCCCAAGGGCCCUCAGAAAGGCUGUGAAGGCCUGUCCCCAAGAGCCAGCCAUUCCAUGUGGAGCUUUUCCUUACGCAACACCAGCUCAUAAGCUGCCGAGACGCCACUCACUGAACAAACUCAACCCCUCUGUUCUUUCAGCAAGUGUUUUCUGAAGACCAGUGAUAUGUCUGGAACUUUCCCGCAACUCUGCCAUGCUGGGAUACAGCAAAUCCCUGCCCUCCCAGAGCUCAGCUUCUUCCAGAUUGGAUCUUCUCUGUGUGGCUCCGGACUACGAGGUCUGGGCCACUGCUUAAAAGUUACAGGGAGGUGGGCUUGGGUUAGAUACCAGGAAGAACUCUCUAAGCGCUCGAGUGACAUCAGAGUGGAAAGUGCUGCUGGAGGGGUAGGGAGCAAUCGAUUCCGGGAGGUGGUCAGAGGACGUGGAACACCUAGCCAACAGUGGUCAGUCUUUCUGGUCCUGCCGACUGAUGUUCAUGGCCGUGUGUGGUCGCCUCCUGGGUUAGCCUGGUUUCUGUUACAAAAAACCUGAGGCUAGGCAAUGUAUAGAAGAGAUUUAUUUAGCUCACAGUUUGGGGGUUGAAUGUUUGAGACUGAGAGGCCCCAUUUAUUUGGCCUCUGCUGAUGAGUCGUGGUAGGACAAUGUAUAAGAGAGAGGGGCCACAGGGUGUGACAGGAAACCAGAGCAAGACAGGGGUCCUGUGAGAAGUAUGCUAAUCCCUUCCCAGAGCAUGUGCCCAAUGACCUGCCACUAAGCUCCACCUUGUAAAGGUCCCACCUCCUCCACACGUGAACCUUUAAGGGACAAAUGACAUCCAAGCUGUAGCACCUCCUUUGAAAUGUGAGUGGCACCUGGGAUUUUAACCAACACAACCCGGCAAAGGCCAUAGGAUGUCACUCCAGCAAUUACUGAGAUUGUGACAUCUGUCUUGCCUGGAGACUCUUCUCUAGCCGGCUCCUCUAGUGGCCAUGCUGAGGAGGCCCUGCAGAGCAAGGGCAGAAGAAGGUGGCCUCUGGUCAACAGCUACCAAGAAACAGAGGCCCUUAGCGCAGCAGGCCCCAAGCGACAGAAUGCCACUAACAACCAUGUGGGCUGGAGGCAGAUCCUUCUUCGGCUGAGCCUCAGACAAGACUGAAUCCCGGCUUUGAUCAAAGCCCUGACCUUGAUCAUAGCUCUCAGCUGAGAUCCUACAGCAGCAGCCCCCAGCCAAGUCACCUCAGUCUCCUCCUAACCCACAGAGACCGUGAGAUAACAGCUGUGUGUUCUUUGAAGCUGACGUUGUUGCCACCGGAGCCCGCUGGUGCCUGCUGGUAACCAAAACAAGAUGUUGUUAAGGAACCAUGUUCUCAGCCAGAAAACCAGGCUCUCUCUCUCCUAUGGUGGGGAUUGAACCCAGGGAAGCAGCCGGGGUGAUCUACAAGCAGGCUGUGCCUGAGAACUGACUGGAAGCCAGAAGCCAGGUUGGGCUCCCUCCAGCUGCUCCCUCCCCCAUGACUUUGGGCAAGGCUGUCUGGGCUCUGGGUACCUCAUCAAUCCAUCAUGGGACCUGCCCACCCACAGGUUUGAGCAGGUCAAAUGAGCUAAGAUCACGGCCACAGAGAGAAACCACCAGCCCCUGAGCCCAUGGAUACCAGAGGGUGUCUGCUCCUCUGUGCUCGCUGUGCGGCUUGGCUUCGGUGCCAGGCAGAAAAAGGGCACGUUCUUCCCGAGUGCUGGUGGGGACCGUAGGCUUCUGAGACACGAGGCAGAGGCCGACGGGACAGGACAAGAUCAGGGAAGUGGCCGACUUUCUCACUCGGACGCCAGCGGUCAGUACCUUUACACAUUAGCCCUCCACUCUUCACGGCAAAUCUCGGUUCAGAUAAAAACUUCAGUUUCACUGCGGUGGUGAAUUUGUUAUAAAAGCUGUCAACACUGCGUUCUGCUCUUGAGUUGGAGCCCUCGUGACUUUCUGGGGGUGUCAGGCAGUCAGAGACUGGCAGGAAGGCACUAGACAUGUGUUAGCUGUGAUUUCUGUUGCUUUCAUUAAAUAUGUAAGAGUUAGUGACCUUUUCACUUAGUUCUCCAUUUUUAAUACACUGAGUGACUGUUAUAAGCAAGUUGUGUCUCAGGUUUACAAUAAUGAGCAAAAUAGACAGAGUCUCUGUACUAACGGGGCACAAGUGCCACUGGGGGACAGAUAAAUAUCCACAUUGUCAUCUGGCAUCAAAUGCUACCAAGAACAGUGAAGCUGAGAGAGGUGCGUGAAAGGCGAAAGUGGUUCUUUCAGGUCAGCCAUUGACAGGCCAUGGCCCAUGGUAAUCUGUGUUUAUAAAUAAAGUCUAAUUGGGAACACAGCCCUGCUCCUCCAGUUAUGCUCUGGGUGUGACCAUUUUUGAGUUGGAGAUUUGCCGCAGGCCGUGCGGGUUGCAAAGCUGAAAAUAUUUACCACCUGGCCCUUCAUAGGAAGACGUUCACGGACACAGGUGGGCUGCAUGGACAGGGAGGGUAAGGGAGAGGGUGAGCAGAUGUUGUGAGUAAAGGUUGAGAAGAGGAAGCUGCAAGUUCAAUGCUGAGGCAGGGGACGGUGCCAGGCAGGCGGGGUACAGCUGGGAGGCUGGAGGGAGCCAGCGAAGGGACCUUCAGGAGUCCGAGGCAGUCGUGCUGGAGCUGGACGUCUGUAGACCCUGGGGAGGGGGGCAGGGCCUGGGGGCGCGCGUGAGGCCUGUGCAGGGGGCGGGGUGCGGAAUGUAGUAAUCUGGCUGUCUUGAAACCCAGCAACACGUUGGGUGACGCAUUAGUCAGCUUUGCUGAACGCUAUACCACCCACACUGUAAAGGAGGAGGGUUUAUUUGUCUUACAGUUUAGAGGAUUCAGUCCAUGGUUAACAGGCUCCGAGGAGUGAACCUCAUGGUGGAAGGGUGUGGUGCAGCAAAAGCUGCUCAGCUCAUGGCAGCCAGGAAGCAGAGCAGGGGAACAGUUUCAGAGAGGCGGGGAGCACACGCAGUACCCCAAGGCCGUGUUCUCAUGAGCUACCUAGACACACCCGCGAGUGUGCUCUCAUAAUCUGCAAGGUGUUUCUUGAGCCAGUGAAGUUGAGCUAUCAGGAUUAACAGUCACAGGGGAAGGUGAGGAGGGGCUGAUCUAGAUGAACUUAGGAGGGAAGCCAACCAGGCUUUGCUGAGCCCCAAGAACACAUGUGUGUCUGUCUUUGAUGCCUGAGUGUUUGGCAGAUGGAUGAACGAACGAAGUGACUCCCCAGAGAUCCUAGCACAGUGCCAAGAGAGCAGCCAACCACUCACUUGACCCUGGUUCUCUUUCCAGGGUCCUGCCUGGCACCAGAUGAGUGCUAGCCUGGGGACACAGUGUCACCAGUCCCCUGGACUCCCAGUGGCCAUCGAAAUCAAGUCCACAUCUCCCACCGCUUGUGGUCCAGGCCAGGAUUUCCUCUUGUCCAGACUUCUCCUUAGAGCCCUUCGGUUAACUAGGGGGACAGAACAGCAGGGACCACUCCAAAUUCAUCAGACUCUCACCCAGUUCUGCUUCCCUGGGCUAUGAGACCAGACUUGCAGGGAAAGCUGGAGCCCAGGCCCCAAGGAGCUCUUGGGAAGGCUUUCAUCACCUCUAAUGAUCUAAUA